ensembl:lncRNA
AGAGGAAGGCAGCGGGUGGCCUGGUAGCAGGCAGUUAGCUGCUUCCAGGUGGCACCAGCGGAACAUUUUGCUUUAUCUAUCUGAGGAAGAAAGAGGAUCUGUCACUCAAGUCAUUCAGACAAAGUUUCUUUUCACUCUCCUGGAAGUGUUUGACUGUACCUGGAGGUUUUCUUGCUGUUACCCAAGAAAUAAAGAUUUUUAUCAGUGGAAUAACCAGGACUCCUUUAUUUCAGUUCUGUUGAAACAGGAGGCCAGUGAUGAUGGGAGGAGUUGGCAGCCUGUACAGGAUGACAUGAAAAACAAUUUGCUGAGCCUUGCUAUUGAGAUAAGGACAAAGGGCUGGGCCAGCUCUGGCGGCAGCAUGCAUGCCUCACACAAGGUCUGCAGCUCAGUGAGAGCUGGGAUGGCAGAGGGGCAGUGAUGGGAGAUGGUUCUGAAGUAGGGGUUGUGGAAAGAGCAUCUAAAAGACAAAGCAGAGAUGGCAGUGAGUAUGAAUGGUGGGGGCUUCUGGGUUAUAAGAAUCUGUGAGGGAGGAACAGAUAGAAAAUCUGCAGUACAAAACCAAGUGCAUGAAAUUCAUCAAGACAUGUUAUUGUUUAAAAAAAAUAAAAAGCUGAUAUUUUUGGUGCAGUUCAGCAGGCAGUCAUUUGCUUGAAAUUACACAGAAAAGAUGGAUUUAACUUCCCUGCUGAAAUACAUCUCUUUGCUUGAUAUCAGUCAAGUGGGCAGGACAAGACUGCUCAGGAAGCUUUGCAAUGCAUGAUUUCGUAAAGAAGUUAGCAGGGACAUCCAAAUGUCUUUAGUGACCUAAUAUUAAUUCCUUUUAGCCAGCAGAUGGAAUUGGAAUAUGCUGGUAGCAAGCAUUACAUACCAUACCAUAAUCAUAGAACCAUAGACUUAAAGAAUAGUAGAAUCAUAAAAUAAUUAGGGUUGGAAAAGACCACGAAGGUCAUGUAGUCUAACCACCAAACUAUCAUUUAUUUUACGUAAGAUGCAGAGCCACAAAAAUAUUUCCUUCAGGAUAGCUGAGAAAAAUGCAGCUCCAAAGGAGCGAUCUGCAGAUUCCUGCUAUGAGAAACACUGGGGAGUACAGAAUGGGAGCCUGUAGUGUAGUUUUGAAAAUGAAAGGUAGGAGAACAAAAUAAUUGCAGGUCAAAUUUCAGAGAUGUCAGUGUGUUUGCACCCAUGUGGCACAAUUGCUCUCCGUGGGGUAAGCACUAGGCCUUGUUGCGUGAAGUCUGAGCAUCUCUGCCUCCAGAAACACAGCACUGGCCCAAGUUUAGCACCAGUGAAGUUAUUUGUACAGAAGCAAGUAAUGUAAAUGAGAGCUCCAAAAAAUAUCCAGUCAGAAAUAUCCUCAGAGGUGUUAAACAGAAGGAGAAAGAAAAACCAUUUACAGUUGCAAACUAUUUUUAAAGAUGAUUUCAUAGGCACCAAAAUAUUUUUCUAACCUCUUCCUGGCUGCACUUUAACAGUGGAAACGUAUUUCUUUGUGCCUGGCAUUCUCUUUUGCUAGUUGCACUCACAAUUACAGGGGAAGAAACAGUGUCUUUGUAUGCAGACCACCUCCCCUUCUCCCCAGGCUUUGGCUUUGUUCUCCAGAGCAACAGCCCUGAGUGGGCCUCCAUCCCCGCUCAAGCCAUGAGAUGGUUAGAAAUGCUGAAGAAACACAUGAAAGUCCUCAGGGUCCGUGAAGACAAAACUCCUGGGUGGAAUAACCAGAAGUAUGUUGCAAAAUGCAAAUAACUGGUGACACCAUGACUUCUUUCAGUGCAGUAAAUGGUUCUCCAUUAGAUCACAAACAAACACGUGUUUGACAGUCUCUGUUCAUGAUAUUAUUUCCAACCAUAGCAUCCCAAACAGUUAAGCUGUUGUACACAAACACUGAGAUACACAUUUGUUGUCCCUGAGGAAGUAUAGCAUGAAAAGGUGAAAGGAAGAAGGAAUCAGUCUAAGCAUAGGUGGAAUUAGACCAUAGCAGGUGAAAAAUCUCUUCAAGAAUACGAGAUUAAUAAGACAAAAAUAUCUAUCAGUGAGGAUUUUACUGGCCAAAGGUGUUCCAAGUUCUGGUACUUUGCUUGGACAGCUACUUUUAGUCCUAUCAUCAGUGGACAUGAAAAGCUCUUUCUCCUUUUCUCCUGUGCAACUACUUUCUAAGUCUACACUGCUUCCUGUAAGUCUUCUUGUGUAAAAGAUCGAACAAACCAUAUUUCUGCAUUCUUUCCUUAGCAGCUGUGCUUUCCACAGCUCAGAUUGUGCUUUCUGUUCUCUGAACAGCCAGCCUGGUUGUUUUAAGUGGACCAGUUAGCAGAGGUGAUUUAGGAAACAGGAGAAUACAGAUGAGAUAUUGAUAUACACUUAGGAUCAAAGUAGAUUAAAUACUGAGAAAAAAAAAAAGAUGCAUUAAAUAAGCAUUUAUUUACUUUUAAAAAAACCCUCCCCAUCUACCUUUACCCUCACAUUCACUGUACACAUCCACCCAGCCCAGUUACCCUUUCUCCUCUUAUUUCAGCAGCUGUAGCAUUAGUGACAGUUAGUUUAAUUGCCUAAAACCAAAGCACCUGCCUCAGAAGUGGCUUGUCUUACAAAAAUCGAGGCCUGCUGAAACAUUUUGAGGAAAACAUUUGUUUCAUUUUGUGUGAUAUGGAUCUUCCCUUGAGUCAAGGACAGAAGAUAAAGGAGGAAAGUUUGACAUUUUGACUUCAGUCUGGAAUGCAGGUAAAGGCUUGAAAUACAAACUCCUUAGUGAACAGAUUUGAUUAAGAUAUCAUUUUAAACUGCUGUCUCUUUUUUCUUUAUUUAUUUGUAACUGUGAAAGAAAGACAAAUAGUCUUAUCUUUACCAUUGGGGGAAGAAAAGAUAUAAGCUGGCAGUUCUUGCUGAGGAAGUCUGAGCGACUUUGAUGGCUCCAGUGAAAGCUUGUUGAUUCGUUUGAUCUUUUGUUGACUAACUGUGGGUUUGGGAAUGUUACAAUCCAUGUUUACAUAAUGUUGCUUAACUGAAAAGCCUCACCUCGGGUGAAAAGACACAGCUGGAUUUAAAAGCAAGCUAGGCCAGGUUAAAAAGAAAAAGAAGUUAUCCUAGUUAUGACGUUUCAAUGGGAAUGCGUGGGUUGUAUGACCAGCAUACAAAGAAAUGUGUGUGCCACCAGGAAACAGGGCAAAUAGACUGGGAUUUGGUCGUACCCCUUGUAGUUUGAAGCCAACUGAGAGUUCAUUCUAGAGCCAAAUAACAUUCUCUUUGAGGCUUAUUUGUUAAAGAAGCCAAUUCAAAUAAUGCUACCUAAGCCCUAGGCUAAUCCUCCCCAGGAAAAUUUGCUUUUACAUUUCCUUUGUCACUGUACUGUCCCAGUCCCAGACCUUUCCCAUCAGCUAAACUUUUCUAAUGCUGAUACUGGGACUUAAAGAAUUAGUGCUUGGGAAAAUAACCAGCUAAUCACCAGUAACUGUAUUAUGGAUACACGUACACAACUGUGGUGUCUGGCCACUGAGUCACCACUGUGUCCAACUACAAAGACCAAGACAGUAACAGGGAUGUUGUGCCAGAUCAAAAGAAAGAAGUCGUGUUAUAUUAUAGCAUCUAAUCAAGGUGUUAGCUGUAAAUAGCUUAUUAAAUAAUAUGUAUGCUAUAAAUACAUUAUACAAUAAAUAGCAUUAGUGUAUGUUUAAUAUUUAAAGCAGAUGGUUUUGCUGCUUCAGAGAGAUUAGGCUCCCAGCCUGUCCAAGUAUAUGCUCUUAACUGAUGCUUUGGACCUGUAGGCACCUAGGAAUUGGAUUCACAGGAGUCAGAAAUAGAACAAAAGGAAAUACUGUAAUGGUAGAAAGGGCUACGGGGGAAGUCAGAGUUCAAGGUUUGCAUCUGUAAUUAACUGCAAAGGGACAAAAUUCUUAAUUGAGAGUUGCUGUCUAUACAGCUACAAACAGCACAAAAUAAUUGCAUGAGUAUCUGCAAUGGUUUCCUGCAGAGGUCCUCAUGUCCACACUUUAUGCAGUUGUGGACUGUAUAUUUAAAGUAAGAAGUAGCCUGGUCUCUUGAACAGAAUAUCCCCACCAGGCAUGUAGAUUGAAACAAUAUCGAAAGGGUAUGGUUUGAGACCCCUGUGUCACUGUGGUUUGUUCCAGGGCAGAGGUUUUGGUUUUGUCUUCCAGCAAAGCAAUCUUGCUCGCUAAGCCACUCCAUGAACUGAGUAAACUCUGCAGUGGAAGGAAUAAUUGGGGGAUUGCUUCAGAACUGCACACUGCUCCAAACCAAAAUCCAAUGUAACAUCGUCAAAGUUUAAAGCAACAGAGAGGGCCCCAUCUGCUUAUCUUCAGCAUUGCCUGAAACCACAGUUGUGAGGGCUCUUGCCAAGGUCUAUGAGUUCAAGUUGUUCCCCUGCUUGAGGUGAACCAUCUUGAUAACACUCUGCUUCAGCAGAAGGAUAAGUGACGUUAUCUCCUAGUUUUGGUCUAUAGCUGAAGGUUGUGGAGGUCAGUUCAAGCCAUUAUUUUUCAUAUCCCCUUCUGCAUCAUUGUUCCUUCUUGGACAGCUGGUACCAGAGUAGAGCUUGGUGACUUUUAAUUAUUCACAUCAUUUUGUUCCUGAGUGUGCAAACUCUUCUAUCGAAUCCAGCCUGGUUUGUUGAAGUAACCAAGAUAAAAUAUGUAUGUAUGUAUUUAUUUAAUGCUGAUUUUAAACCACAGCUACUGGUUAGGUAGAAUUUUAUUAAAAUUGGUAAACUCUUAUUUUUCAGUGUCUUUGUGCUAUACUGAGUAUUUUGAGGUUAUAAACUGCUUGUUGCUGUGUUUGGAAAAGCAGCAAUUAAAUGUUAUUUUGUUCACUGGAGGAAAAGUGAGAUGUAAGAGACCCUGUAUAGCUUGUCCCUGAAUCAUCCUGCAACCUCGUCAUGGAAGCACUGACAAACUGCUUGUAGGCAGAUAGAGACAAGCAACCGUUUUCUGAUUGAGAAGUUUAAUUUUGAACUUUCUGUACGAUAAUGAAUGCAGUGUUCUUGCACUGUGGAGAUGGUUCCCCUCCAGCUGAAACAUUCAUUGAGCUCCCUAUAGACACUGUCCUGUUUCUUUUUGGGAAAACCAUCUGGGAGCUCAUCAGAAUGAGAACCUCACAAUGUCUCCUGCAAUUUCAGCUCAAUCUGUAGGCUAACACAGGUCACUCCUUUCAGAGUGCUCUGCCUAAGUUCAACUAUUCCACUCUUUUUAUUCAGUCUCCAAGGAAACAGCUCCAAGCUGAGUUCCCUGUAAAGUCUGCUGCAGAAGUGCUGUAAUUCAGCUGUGGAGGCAGGUGCUGUAGAGCAAUGUACUUUUAGGGGUAUGUGUGCACACUUUGGUAUUUUUCACAUUACCAUGACAGGAAAAAGCAUAUUCAGAGGGGAAAAGGGACAGGUGAGAGGGAAGAAUCUGGGGAGGCUUUCUAACAAGCACUGGUUCUGUUUUCCCUGGUGGGUUGAGUAUAAAUGCUGCUCAGACAGAGGCAUUUUUGGCAAGAUAAGAUAGUUAUUAUUUUGUUGAGUAAACACUUGGAGGAGUAAACUCAAUGGGACUACAUUUGAAAUCAAUGUGAGAGCUCUCAGAGAACCCAGCAGACAUGCUGAAGAGCAAGCACAAGAUAAACACUCAGCAGAACCUUGAGGAGUGUUUCGCAGAGCUGAUUACCAGAUACAGACAUUUCAAGGAAUGAACAGCAGUGUUCCCUUAUUUUUUUAAGGAUUUGUGGACAAGUAAAACAGCUUUGUUAAACAGAAAAUUCCUUAUAUUUAUCAGCAUGUCAUUAAUAUAACCCCCUUAAUGGAGACAUAAUGGUCUGAAAGACAAUUCAGAGUGCCUUGGCUCUGCUCUGCCACUGCUAUGUUUGGUCAACAGUGGAGUAUACACCUUACAGUGACUGAGGAUUUCACUGAAUAAAGAGAUCUGUCUGAAUGUGCUACCAUCUAUGUAUAACUUGAGAAAAUGGCAUUUCUUUUCAUGAAAUGGUCUCAUUGCCUCAGAGAGAAAGACAGUUUUCAGAUUACAUUUCAUAUUUCAGUCCGCAGUAGACUUGGCUUUAACUGUGAAGGCCUUCAUGGGGCCAUUUUCACCUCCGGAGCCUAUGGGCUCUCUUCUCCAGGCUGCAGCUAUUUAUUCAGUCUCCAGAAUAAACGAAGAAGAGAUGGGACUACUGCCCCUGUGUUGGAAAUGUUCAACUGAUGGACUGGGAUCAAGGGAACUAAACUCUGUCUGCUGCUCAUGCUGGAUUUCUGGCCUCACCCAAGAUGUAAUGCAAUCUCAGUAAUUUUAAAAAAUACAUAAAAAAACACCAUUUCUGUUACAGCUUUGAAAUGGAGCAUUUCUUACAGUAAUUCAGCUGCAGCCUUUGCAUAGAGUACAUGAAGACCCUGAUACUAUGUUUGUUUUCUUUCAUUUUAUUUAUUUAUUUCAACAGCAGAUGGACUCCCAAAACACUUCCACUGAUACCAGCAGGUUUACUGGGAUGAGAAUCAGUUUUAAAGACCUCAACCAAAGCAUGAUCAAAUGGAUGACGAAAACCUCCUGAAUUCAGCAAGGCCUAAGAGAGAUAUCAUGGGACUUCCGGAGAGUUUUAGGUGCUAUUUACAGUGAUCUGCUGCUAGAGGAGCACUAAAUCACAGUUAUUUGUCUAUUGGGAAUUUAAAUGCCUGGGAUGCAGUCCUACAUCAUUGCCUCAUCAGUCAUGGGGAAGCUGAAGGAAGAGUACAUUUGGACCAGGACAAGUCAAUACCAAGGGCUGUACUUUCAUUAAGGUAGCAGAAUUCUUAAAACAAAACCUUGUCUUAGUAAGUGCCUGUUCUCUGCAAGCCAGAUUCAAUUACACAACAGAUCAUAAGGAAUUCUUCCGUAAGGUGCACUUUUGGGGGCUUUUUGUUUGAAGAUAUUUGAAUUGCCUGUGAUAUUCCCAGACAUAACAACAUCCAUCAGCUUAAUCCUCUUCUCUGCUAGAGUCUGAGGAAGAACACUGAAGACCUGUGAGAUUACAGAACUCUUUAUCAAAAGGCACAGAAUUCCUAUGACAUUUUAAUGGAUUUUCAUGGAAUCACAGAAUGGCCUGGAUGGGAAGGGAUCUCAAGGAUCAUGAAUCUCCAACCCCCCUGCCAGGCAGGGCCACCAACCUCUCCAUUUACUAGACCAGGUUGCCCAGGGCCCCAUCCAACCUGGCCUUGAACACCUCCAGGGACGGGGCAUCCACAACCUCUCUGGGAAGCCUGUUACAGCACCUCACCACUCUCCUUGUAAAGAACUUCCCCCUAACAUCCAACCUAAAUCUUCCCUCUUUCAACUUAAAACCAUUCCCACUUGUCUUGCUAUUAUCUACCCUUUCAAAGAGUUUACUCCCUUCCUGUUUUCUAGUACUUUUUUCUAGUACUUUGGCUACAAACUGCAAUAGGAGUUGAGAAACAUACCUCAGGAAGAAAAGAGUAAUAAUGGAAGCACUACCUGGCUGAGUCUGGAAAUUUUUGGUAGUCUGAAAUAGACCGUAACAUACCUCAAGCCUAACGUUAUGUGAACUCUGCUGUGAAACUUGAAGUUAACAAAAGUCAAUGGCAGAAUGGCAGAAGAUCAUUCACUUUUGUCAGUCCUUGCCCCAGGACUCUCAAGGGAAUAAUUUGUCAGUACUAUUUAUGGUUCUGUCUAUUAUUUGAUAUCUGCGUUUCACAUGCAUGUGUGGGCAGCCCAAAGAUCCCCUGUCCUUUCUUAGUGACAAAUUACUUUGCAAACACAUUCUUGUUGUUUGUUAUCACCUCUUUGUCUCUCUUUCCUUGAUUGCUUUUCUGUUUUUUCCUUUCCACUGCUAUUAUUUUCAAAAUUGCAGAGAAUUUCCUCAUUUGUCUUAAAAGGUAAUUGUGCUGAGAAAGCUUUACUCUAAGAAGAUAUGAUGUUCUUUAGAGCAAAAGACCCUAAUAUGCCCUAUUUUAAAGUACUGGCAAAGACUGCUUGGGAUCUUUCAAUAUACCCUGGCACGCAGCAGAUGCUUAGCACUCAUUUCCUCUUGUGAAUCUAAGUAUCAGACCCAGAUGAUGAAAGUUUAAUCCUUUGGCAUAGGUACUGUGCAUUGCAUCUUUCAACACAACUGAGCCCAUUUUCUGCUGAGGAGAGGUAGUGAGUAAAGGCCUUACACAGAGGUCUCCAGCACAGGUUCUUGGGUGGAGAAUAGGAGAGGUUAGUAAAGGUGUAAUUUCUGCAAAUUAAGUUCCAUCUCCAAGAUAUACAUCUUGCAAGCCAAGAUGUUGCUUACUGAAAGAAGCAGAGUGCCUUAAAGCUAUCUGCACAAUUUCUUAAAACUUCACUUCCCUGAUGGAUAACAGAUGGGGGAGAAAAUUUAUAAGGAAAAGAUUAGAGCAACUCUUCUUAUAAACAGGAGUUCUAAUCACUCUGCCUUUGCCCUGGAGACCAGAUUUAAUCUGAGGGUUUAACUUAACGCAACUGUCUUGUUUCUACUGUCAGCUAAGAAUGUUCAUGAAAAGAGACACCUUGGAAUGAUGCAAAACUUAACAUUGCUUGGGAAUUAAUGAUCCAGCAUUUAAUCAAUGAUUACACUCAACGUAACAUGGUGAAAUAACUGGACUUGGUAAUUUGUGCACUCAACAUUUGUCAUCUCACAGCAUUUUAAGUCUAUCUUUACUGAUGACCUGGAUGAGGGCAUUGAGUGCACUCACCCUCAGCGAGUUUGCAGAUGACACUAAGCUGGGAGGAAGUGUUGAUCUGCCUGGGGGUAUGAUGGCAUUACAGAGGGAUCUGGACAGGCUGGAUUGCUGGGCUGGGGCCAAUGGGAUGAAAAUCAAUGAGACUGAGUGCUGGGUCCUGCACUUUGGCCACAAAAACCACAGAUAAUGCUACAGGCUUGCAGAUGAGUAGCUGGUAAACUGUGUGGAAGAAAUGGACCUGUCAUUGUCAGUUGAUGCUCAGCUAAACAACAGCCAGGAGUAUGCCCAGGUGGCCGAGAUGGUUUUACUCAGCACCUUGAAACACUGAAACAAAAAGUGAGACUGUACCACUGAGUAUAUUGGGAACAAGGCACAGAGUAGUGGAUUUGCUGCAGGAGAGGUCUUCCAUAGCUUUACAUCCUUCAGAAAAAAAAUCUCUGCAUUGCUGUGUGAGGAACAGUGUCUGGAAAUCAAGGGUCUGUGAUCAUAGAAUGGCUAAGGUUAGAAGGGACCUUAAAGGUAGUCGAGCUCCAAUCCCCUGCUGAGGGCUGGUUACCACCUACCAGUUCAGACUGCCCAGGGCCCUAUCUAACAUGUCCUUGAAUGCCUCCAGGGAUGGGACACCCACAACAUCUCUGGGCAUCCUGUGCCAGGGCUUCACCAUCUUGUAUGAUUUCUCUAACAACAGUCUUUUCUGAGAGCUACACUGGAACAGUGUGUCCCAGCACGUUGCACGAUGUAUAAGGCUCAGUGAAGCUUUGCAUCCUACCACUAGUACUCUCAACAUAACCUAUUUGGUAGUGGAUUUUCCACAGUCUGCUUUCUUUUUCUAUACCCCAGCUUUUGCACUGUGUUCUGGAGUGUUGGGUAGAAGAACAAGGACAGGCAAUUAUAUCUAUGAUGAGAGCUGAUUUUCAAUUUGCUGCUUGAAGUGAAAAUUAAAAAGAAAAAUUUUCCCAGUUUGGCCUGACAUGAAAGUGCAUUAAAUUUCUCACGAAAGAAGAAUCCAUCAACGUUCCUGCUGUACCCCAGCUUAAACAAAGUUAGCUCCAGGUUAAACAGAGGAAUUAUUUUCAGAACAGAAAGUUUUCUUUUGCUACUUGUUUCUGGUAGCUUUUAGUGUGUACAGUAGCUGCAUACCUAAACACAGCUUCACAGCAAAAAGAAAUAUUGAAACUGUCUUGAGAAAAAAAUCCAGUUUUGGUGGUGUUUUCUCCUGGACUCUUUCUUGCCACAUGUCAGAGGGCUGGCCCACGUUUACUACUUCAUUACAGGAGAGGGUGUAUAGCGCAAAUACAGGGAAAGGCAUCUCCUCCGUGAAAGAAGCUGAUGUCUUGCACCUCUUCUAGAGGCUUUGAUGGCUAAUUCUGAUGUUUCCCCGCUUAGAUUGUUGGUUUCUGUGAUGUCGGUUCCUAAGUAAUUAACUUCCCCUUUAUGUGAUAUGGGAAGUUCAUGGCACCUAGGCUGAGGGUGCCUAAAAUUAAAGCUGGACAGAGAUUGGCAACACCUGAGUCUGUUGACCAACCCUGAUUAGUCAAAUCAUAGAAUCAAAGAAUCGCUAAGGUUGGAAAUGACCCACAGGAUCAUCCAGUCCAACCAUUCGUUCGCCCUUCACCAAUGGUUCUCGCUAAACCAUGUCCCUCCACACAACAUCCAAACGUUCUCUGAACACCACCAGGCUCGGUGACUCCACCACCUCUCUGGGCAGCCCAUUGCAGUGCCUGACCACCCUUUCAGAGAAGCAGUAUUUCCUAACGUCCAGCCUGAACCUUCCCUGGCGCAGCUUGAAGCCAUUCCCUCUCGUCCUAUCACUGUCACACGAGAGAAGAGGCUGACCCCCAGCUCACUACAACCUCCUUUCAGGUAGUUAUAGAGAGCAAUUUAACAAAUGCUUGUUAAAAGAGCACACUUCAACUUUGGACAUUCUGUGAUGGAUAAACAUGGAGUUCACCUUUGCUGAUUAGGAGAAUAAGUAAAGUUGAGGACAUUGUUUUAUACAUAAAGAUAAUAGUUGAAUCACAGAAUCAUUAAGUUUGGAAAAGACCACUAAGACCAUUUAGUCCAACCAUCAAAGCAACCACUAACCAUGUCCCUCAGUGCCACAUCUCCACGAUUCUUGAACGUCAUCGGGGAUGGCAACUCCACCACCUCCCUGAGCAUCCUGUUCCAAUACCUCACCACUCUUUCUGAGCAGAAAUGUUUCCAAGUAUCCAACCUGAACCUCCCCCUGUGAAACUUAAGGCUAUUACCUCUCAACAACACACACUGAAUCACAAAUUUUGGGAAACAUGAACCUUUCUUUGCUUCCUAUAGAACAAAAAGAAAUUUGUGCUAUCUCCGAUCUUUCUGUUGAAUAAUAGCAUACUGUCCCUGUGAGUUUUUUGCUUAAUUUAUUGAAGAUACAAAGAUUUAAUGGUCAUCCAGAACUCUGUGAGGAUGUGAUCAUUUCAGUCUUUUCAAGCUCACUUGACUCAAGCUAAAGGAACAAAAUUCUCUGUGUUGUGAAAAGCAGAGUCCAGAU